CCAUCGCCCCCUCUUUCCUCCCAACCGACAAUUCUCAUUUCGUUCAAUCCGACGACACUCUCGUGCUCAGCCACUUUUCAUAACCAACUUCUCGACCUCUUCCCCCUUUCUUCCUAAGUCUGCAACCAUCGGCCAUCGAAUCUCCAUCAUCUCCUUCUUCAACCUCGUCUGUCCUUGCUUUGUCGCUUGACAAAUGGCUGCUUCCAACCUUAAGCCUUCAGCAAAAGAUCUUCCUUACUGGUUUUCCCAAGUGUGUUCAAUCUGUUGACCUUCUGGUGUUUGAUGCUCAGGUCUGUUCUUUUUAGAGAGUCUGCUUGAUUGCCUCGACCUCUCCAAUGAUUGUACGACUCUAGAGAUUUCUAACAGAGUGGAAGCCUCAAGAUUGGUGUGCCAUCAAAGGGCUCAUUCGAGACCCACACCUAAUCCUAGCCGCUUAACAGAAAAAUCAGCCUAGGAAAUGUUGAGAGAUUUUAGGGUUGAUGGAGACGAGAGAAUUGCUAGCAGAAAGAGCUGAGAACUUCCUGAUUUCCUUGAAGCAGAGGUUCUUAGGUUUAACUCAAAUCAUCCUAGACACCAGCAAGAUCCAAUGCAAAAAGGUUCCGACAUAAAUUGUCGAUGAAAAUUGUUUUUUCUUUAUUUAAAACAAGAUCCAUCUUUCAAAUUUCAAAUGACUCAUCUUGAAUAAUUUUAGGACAUAGGCAAGUCUCACUUAAAUGUUCUCUCAUUGGUAUUGUCUGGCUCUGUGGCCUUUGAUUUGUAUUUAGUCACAAAGGGUUUCUUGUGGCUUUUUGUGAUAUCUUUACUUGGCUUUUCCCUCUCUUUGUUGUAGUUCUUUGCAAGAAUCUGCUUCGUGGGUUCUCCGUCAUUUUUUGUGGAUGAAAACAACAUUUUUGAAUUGAGUGUCAUGAUAAUUUGAUAGUAGACUUCAUUUUUUCACUCCUAUAUUUUAGUGAAGCAUACCUAAGGUUCUUUGGUGUUUUUCUUUCGGCUACAAGAAAGAAAGGAAGAUGAUGGAGUAACUUUAUAGGAAAGAAGAAUGGGAUGUGAAGUUUCUUCAUUUGACUUCUGAGAUUGGCACGAAGGAAGAAGAAAAUGUUAAGGCUUAUUACUUUUAAGUUGAGGAGUAGAUUCACCAGGCUUAUUGCUAGAAGGUUUGGUUUUGAUCAAUACGCCAUUCCUUUGGUUUUUCUUGAUACUUUCUUUGGUUUGUUUCAUUGGUUGCUGAUGGUUUAUCAAGAUUUUUUGUCAGUUUUCAUUUUCAUUUUUUUAGGAACUAUAGUUCUUCAAUUAUAUAAGUAACAUAGUUAUUUAUACUGAAUUUCUGUCAUUUUUCUCUGAAUCUGGUCUUUGCUAUUUUAUUUAUUAGUCAAGCUGUAAUGCCUAUUUUUGUGGCAACCAAAUUGGUGUGUUAAAUUUAACGCCAUGAUUGAGGUCAACUUCUUUGUUCUUCCAGUUCUCUAUGGUAAAUCUUGAACCUUCUCUCUCAUUGUGACAUUGUAGCUCAAAUUUAUCAAAUGUAAAAGCUGAAGCAAAAUAAGUCCUAGAAGCUGGAAGAUUAUAUUGUAUUGUCUAUGGAGUUCCUUAACCUUUUCAGGCUAUUUGAGAAAAAUAUUAUAUAUUGUGAGUUCAACUAUAAUUAAUGCAUGUUCUUGCAAUGGCCUUUCAAAUAAUGAAUUUUACUUUGGAGAAUAUCUAUGAUCAUUUCAAAAAACCUAAUUUUUUGUUAUUUAUAGACCAAGUUUAAAAUCUUUAGAUACCAAGGGAGGCACCAGUGAGAAGAGUGGAACAUAUAACUUUGAGUCCGAUUAAGAGAGGUAGAGGAAGGCCUAAGAGAACACUCUUGGAAGUUGUUGAACGUGAUCUCUUAAUUAAUAAUAUUUCGAAAAGCUUAAUAAAUGAUAGAGCACAAUGGCGUCUUGCAAUCCAUGUAGCCGACCCCACCUAGUGGGAUAAAGGCUUGUUGUUGUUGUUGUUGUUGUAUCAUUGUCGAUGGUUUGACAAAAAGCUGCCAUUUUGUUUUUUUCCCCAUUUGUUAGUAGGGCCAUGCUAUGUAGCACAUAAUCAUUUUUCUGAGUGGCUUUAGUAAAUGGAAAACUUUAUAUAUCUCCAUUUUGGUGAUAUAUUGUUUUAACUUUUGAUUGUGGCUUUCCAAUUACAUGGGAAGUCAAUUUUCACUAAAAAAAUUCUGGAUUGUUACACUUUCAAUCUAGAAAAGAUGAAACUUUAAAAGGUUAUGUUAGGGUGAUGAGUGGUUACUAUCAGAUCAAGUCUCAGGCUUCUUUUACUUUCUAGGGUGAUUUGUUAUGCCCUCGUGAGCUCUCAUAAAUGAUAUUCAUUUCUUUUUUGUUUUGGGAAAAAUCUAUUACUUCUUAUAUGUUAGCUUCGAGGUAGCAAGACUACUCAAGUUCUUGGAAUUGGUGAGAUAAGUUAUUAAUGAAUCUAUAAAUAUAUGUGUACAAUUUUUCUUAGAUAAGUUAUAUCUGUACUUUCAUACUGAAAAAAAAACAGUUAUAUAUGUACCCACUUUCAUCUAAUGAUAUCUGCUAUAGAAGUGCAUGCUUUCACUUUCUUUUGUCAAGACAGAUAAACUUAAAUGGCAUUUUCGUGCAAUCUUAGUCUGGUAGCUUUCCCUUGGGUCUAGGACAACAUGCUUUUGGUUUGUCCUGUAUGGGUUUGUUAUACAUUUCAUUUCAUUUGACUAUGUUUCACCUUCUUGGAAAAGGAGUUGUUCUCGAGGAAUCGAUUUUGCAUUGGUAUGUUUUCAGUUUUUAGCCUUUGCAUUUGUUAUUAUAAAGCAGCUUGACCAUCCCUCCUCCAUUUCCAAAAGAGGUUAUUAUUAAUACCUGUAAUAUUAAGGACAACUUCCAUAGGAAUACAGGAGAAUGAUGCUAUCUUUGGUAUGGGAUUUGUUUUGGAACUCAUUUACUGUUGCUUCUUAACUAUAUUGAUUGAUUGCUAUUUACUAGGUAAACCGUACUUGCUGGUCAAACAUCUAGAGGUCCUACCAACUGUCAUGCUGCUGCAGGCUAUCAAUGAAAAAGUUCAGUUGAUCAGCUUCAUAGGUUGAAAAUGGGGCAGCAUUUGCUUCAGUUGAUUAAAAGCCACUGAAAGAAGCAAGCUGUUAUUCCUUAAUAUUGUUAAAGCACAGACCAUGACAGCACCGUCCAUGAGACAAGGUUUCUUGAGGUUGACAACAUGAACAAUCUGGUUUCAUAGGUUGAUUAAAAGGGGCAGCAUUUGCUUCAGUUGAUUAAAGCCACUGAAAGAAGCAAGCUGUUAUUCCUUAAAUUUGUUCAAACACAGACCAUGACAGCACCUUCCCCGAGACAAGGUUUCUUUGAAGUUGACAACAUGAAGGAUCUGGUUUCAAAAUAUCAACAGCAUCAAGAUGCCAUUGUUGAUGGAGUAGAGUAUGAAGGCGAAGAACAUAUUGACAUGAAUAUGACAUCAAUGGAUGGAGCUGUCUCCAUCUUAAUCAUUCUUUCUUGUGAGCUCUAAUAUCUUCAAUUGAAUUUGUUUUAUCGAUUUAGAUAUACAUAUAAUCUUUUGAUUAAUAUAUAUUGUUAUACGAUUCAUUUUCUAAGGUUUGUGGUAAGUCUUGUAUUUUAAAUAUGAUGUGAUCUACGACUCCAAUUCAAAAUGAGUAUUAAGGAUGAUAAAUUUA